GACCAGACCGUGUAGUUUGAAGAAGUUAACAUCGGAAACUUGACAGUGGCUGGGCCGGUGUCUUUGUUCUUGACGAUCGCUUCUUUUAUGUCAGCCAUGGUUAUAGUUUCUUAAUUAGUUUGUGAUGCUCUGAUACCAAAUAUUGAAACACAAGAGUAAUAAGAAGUCCUUCUCUUAUUCAAUCAAUCAAGUAAACUCAAUCAAGCUCUCUCAAUCACACAACAACUCACACGCUUUGUCUAAAGACUAAAGCUUAUUUAUAAGGUAAUCAAAAAGUCCUAAUCCUAGUUGAUAAUCAUAAAACAUAUUAUGAUCAUUAUCCAAAACAAUUCAUAAAUCAACUAGGAAUCAAAUAACCUUGUUGCUCAAGGUUUCUUCAAGCUAACUUCAACAAAACAGCACAUUAGCAAUGGAUAAAUUUGUUUUUUUCAUGCUUAAAGAGAAAGUCUCACAAUAUACAAUUAGACAAGUAUAUAAUUUCUAAAAUGAAUAGUAAAAUUGUUGUAAACUUUUUUACGAAAGUUAAUACUAAUUUUAAGUUAAAAAUAAAUUAUACAUUUUUAAAAAAAUUGUACUAUUAGUUUAUUUAUUCGGGCGGACGGGUUUACCCUAGUGUUAUAUAUAACAAAUUCACAACUCAAAUAAUACAAACCUAAUAUAAGAAUGUAACCAACAUAUAAAGUUGAUAUAAUGAAGUAAAAUAUAAAUGCAAUUUUUUUUAUAAUCUCAUCCCGCACAAGGGUUACCACCUACUAAGCUAAUAUAAGGUAAUUUAUUGGGAAAAUCUUCACUCUUUACUGCGAAACAUACUAUAUAAUCACAUGCUAUAGUCUCACUACUCCAUCAAGAAAAACACAUCA
rnacentral:lncRNA from 1 species